ACAUGCAUACAACAUAGAGUUAAUGUACCAUAUCUCAUUAGAACUCUGUAGUUAAGCGUGCUCAGGCUAGAGUAGUACUGGGAUGGGUGACCGCUUGUGAAGUCCUAGUGUUUUACAUGCC
rnacentral:rRNA from 1 species